GAAUUACUCUGAGACUAUUUCUAUAAAUUCGUUAUACAUGUGUGCCUGAGUGAAACAAUAACUGCAAGGACUGAUCUUCCAUCAUCAGAAAAUUCCCAAGUCAUUCUUCAGAAUUCAUUUCAAAGUAUGCCUGAUGUCAUAUACUAAACCAACUGGAAGCCAGCUGCAGAAAAAAGAGAAGCCAGGAAGGCUGUGAAAAAAACUUGAUUUCUAAACUGUCAUUUCACAACUUGCUUUAAGAGCAGAAUUGUUAUAUUAAAAACAUACACUUCUCAAACAUUGCAAUUUAA